rnacentral:rRNA from 1 species
UACGGAGGGUGCAAGCGUUAUCCGGAUUCACUGGGUUUAAAGGGUGCGUAGGUGGGAAUGUAAGUCAGCGGUGAAAUCUCCGUGCUUAACAUGGAAACUGCCAUUGAUACUAUGUUUCUUGAAUUUUCUGGAGGUAAGCGGAAUAUGUCAUGUAGCGGUGAAAUGCUUAGAUAUGACAUAGAACACCAAUUGCGAAGGCAGCUUACUACAGGGAUAUUGACACUGAGGCACGAAAGCGUGGGGAUCAAACAGG